rfam:Danio rerio chromosome 4, GRCz11 reference primary assembly.
GGUAGCGUGGCCGAGCGGUCUAAGGCGCUGGAUUAAGCUUCCAGUCUCUUCGGUGGCGUGGGUUCGAAUCCCACCGCUGCCA